AUUUUACGCGAGGCGAAGAGAACCUCUGGUGGCACGCGAUGCAAAUCUCUCUUCCUUUGGUACAAAAUUUGUACCAAGCACAUGAUUGGUUAGUUAUAAUUAGCAGUCACAUGAAGUGGUGUGAUUGGCUAGACAAAAAAACCUGUUUAUAAAUCUCAGAGAACACGAUGUAAACAAAAUACAGAAAUAAUACGAACGUCGAACGUAUUAAAAUCUUAAAAUGCUUUACUUGGUGUGGGUUUAUAUUUGAGAUUAACUUAUACUUUGUUCCGCUAUAAAAAGAUUUUCUGCGCUGGAGAAGAGCUGCCAUCGCGGCAUGACUUGAGUUGACGGCAUGACAUGUUCACUCAGUUACAGUAUUAAUAUUUGUAAAAUAUAUUAAAGUGUUGGUCACUUGCUUUAUAUCGUUCAAAGUUUUAAAUUUUGGUAAUUCUUCGACUUUGAUAGUUAUUAAUAGGAUUUAUUUUGCCAAUAUUUUCCCGUUGUAUGUUAAGGAAACGUUGCUACAUACUGGCUCCGUUGCACAUAUAUAUAAAUAUUUAUAUAUUUAUAUUCUUUCACUUUUGACUUUUUACGCUCGCUAAUGCAAACGGCAUUCCACAAAUUUAACAAUCAGUAAGGUUGCUUUUUUGCUUUUGUGAGAAAAUCUACAUAAUCCUUACGAAUAAUCUGCAUGUUUGGGCUGCUUAAUAUUUUUAAUAUCAAUUUUACACAAGGUCUGAAGAGAGCUAUUUUGGUAGUAUGACAAACCCGGAAGUUUAAAAACGUCACAAAUAUAAAACCGGUUUUGCAAGUUCUCAAACGGCAACGUCAGCAUGGAAGAGAGAUUUGUAUCGCGUGCCACCAGAGGUUCUCUUCGCCUCGCGUAAAAUAGAUACGAGCGGGAAUAAGGCGAAAGAUACAGAACCUCUGGCAACCAG